rnacentral:tRNA from 1 species
GGAGAGGUGGCAGAGUGGUCGAAUGCGGUUGCCUCGAAAGCAAUUAUCCCUUCAAUAUGGGAUCGAGGGUUCGAAUCCCUCCCUCUCCUCCA